rnacentral:rRNA from 1 species
UACGUAGGGGGCAAGCGUUGUCCGGAUUUAUUGGGCGUAAAGAGCGUGUAGGCGGCUUUACAGGUCCGUUGUGAAAACUCGAGGCUCAACCUCGAGACGCCGGUGGAAACCGUAAAGCUAGAGUCCGGAAGAGGAGAGUGGAAUUCCUGGUGUAGCGGUGAAAUGCGCAGAUAUCAGGAGGAACACCGAUGGCGAAGGCAGGUCUCUGGGCCACUACUGACGCUGAGAAGCGAAAGCAUGGGGAGCGAACAGG